GGGUCUAAUACCGGAUAUGACUGUCCAUCGCAUGGUGGAUGGUGUAAAGCUCCGGCGGUGCAGGAUGAGCCCGCGGCCUAUCAGCUUGUUGGUGAGGUAGUGGCUCACCAAGGCGACGACGGGUAGCCGGCCUGAGAGGGCGACCGGCCACACUGGGACUGAGACACGGCCCAGACUCCUACGGGAGGCAGCAGUGGGGAAUAUUGCACAAUGGGCGAAAGCCUGAUGCAGCGACGCCGCGUGAGGGAUGACGGCCUUCGGGUUGUAAACCUCUUUCAGCAGGGAAGAAGCGAAAGUGACGGUACCUGCAGAAGAAGCGCCGGCUAACUACGUGCCAGCAGCCGCGGUAAUACGUAGGGCGCAAGCGUUGUCCGGAAUUAUUGGGCGUAAAGAGCUCGUAGGCGGCUUGUCACGUCGGUUGUGAAAGCCCGGGGCUUAACCCCGGGUCUCAGUCGAUACGGGCAGGCUAGAGUUCGGUAGGGGAGAUCGGAAUUCCUGGUGUAGCGGUGAAAUGCGCAGAUAUCAGGAGGAACACCGGUGGCGAAGGCGGAUCUCUGGGCCGAUACUGACGCUGAGGAGCGAAAGCGUGGGGAGCGAACAGGAUUAGAUACCCUUGGUAGUCCACGCCGUAAACGGUGGGCACUAGGUGUGGGCAACAUUUC
rnacentral:rRNA from 1 species